rnacentral:rRNA from 1 species
AUUGAACGCUGGCGGCAUGCCUUACACAUGCAAGUCGAACGGUAACAGGUCUUCGGAUGCUUACGAGUGGCGAACGGGUGAGUAAUACAUCGGAACGUGCCCGAUCGUGGGGGAUAACGAGGCGAAAGCUUUGCUAAUACCGCAUACGAUCUACGGAUGAAAGCGGGGGAUCUUCGGACCUCGCGCGGACGGAGCGGCCGAUGGCAGAUUAGGUAGUUGGUGGGAUAAAAGCUUACCAAGCCGACGAUCUGUAGCUGGUCUGAGAGGAUGAUCAGCCACACUGGGACUGAGACACGGCCCAGACUCCUACGGGAGGCAGCAGUGGGGAAUUUUGGACAAUGGGCGAAAGCCUGAUCCAGCCAUGCCGCGUGCAGGAUGAAGGCCUUCGGGUUGUAAACUGCUUUUGUACGGAACGAAAAGCCUCUUUCUAAUAAAGAGGGGUCAUGACGGUACCGUAAGAAUAAGCACCGGCUAACUACGUG